AUUCUUCUCUCAGAACAACACCCUGCAAUAAGCAAAUACAAGUCUGAGCCACAGCACCAGGUUUGGAGCCAAGCUGUUGAGAAGUUUGGCCUGCUCAGAGGUCUGAUGCUUUUGGAGGGAGCAAGAAAAUGGGCAGAGAGGGUUAACCAUGAACUCUACAUUGAUGACAUCAAGAUCCACAGCAGCUUUAAGUAGAUGUCUCCUGUACCAGAAAAGCAUGGCAGUGGCCUUCAGCUGCAGAUGUGGCUAUUGGAGAAUUUCACAUAUAUCAACAAUCUUUGAGAAAAUGAUUCCUGUUUUUCCUUGUGAUUCAAGAAUACACUGAGCAAAUGUCAGUUUGGGGAGCUGAUUCAGGCGAACAAAUUCAUUCACAUCAGAAGAUCAUCAUCCACGUGAGUGAUGCACAUUUUCAACAUGACCAGCAGUCUUGACAGUGACAAGAAGGAGGACAGACACUACCGUUGUGUUCAUGCACAAAGCAGUUUUACCCUGGGAGGAGACAGCAGAAGAGACUGACUACAAUCAUAUGAUCUCGCUCAGUCUCAUUUCAAAUCAUCCUAAACUGCAUUUGUGCUGACCUGGUCUGUGGUUACUCAAUCUGAUACAGAAUACAAAGAGACAGUCAGAAAAUAUAACAAAAAAAAAAAAAAAUAAAAAAAGGAAAACAGGACUAAAAUAGCAAUGGUAUGAUAUGUGCUUUCCAGUUCUCUUCUCUAAGGAUUUGUGUUAAUGGAAAAUACCUAUUUCAGCAGCCUGGCAGAGGCAAGACUGCUGCCACUCCACAUCCCCAGCUUCAACCUGUAAUGAGGCUGAACAUUUAUUCCCAGCUGAUGCACACAGAGUACAUGUAUGCAGCACAAAAUACACAUAUAUACACUGCUGGCCAUACAGAUUGUGUAAAGACACACAGCUCACACCAGCCUCAUCCUGCUGUCUGCUCUAGCUGAGGAGAACAGAGGUCCUUAAGUGGCAGUAUAUAUACACAGCUACAAGAUGGAACCUUCCAGCAGAAGACUUUGGUGUGUCCAGCAGCUGCUCCUGGAUCCUGGUCUCCCCAUUUACUACCACCUGGACAUACAAGCUCUCAAAGCCACAGUCCCACUCCUGCUGCUGGUACAAACCCUCUUCAGACACAUACACCCAGAGAUGAUGGGGAAUUCCUGGUCCCUAUAAUCCCCUUCGUGGGCUCUUGCCCCUAGACACCAGCAGCCACUCCCCACCCAGAGAUCACCCUCAGAGACCGCCAAACCCAUCCUUGCCCCAACCCACCCAUCUGCAUUAUCUUUGCCAGCAAUCACACCCACACUUGCCCCAGCUGCUGCACCAUUAACAACCUCAUCUACCCCCAUACACACAGGGAAUAAAGAGCCUGUUACUGGAAAGCAGUUGGAGUUAUUGAAGAGAGACGACAGAUUGUGCUGGUCAGGAGCAGGGCACAGCACAACCAGACAACUGUCCACACAGGUGAACCUGUUUAUUCCCUUGUUCCACACUUGUUAGGGACCCAAUCUCUUAAACCCCUACUUUGUCCUGCUUUUGAUUUCUCCUCUGAAUACCUGGGAUGAAUUCUGUGCAAUCCCCAAAAGCUCUCGCCCUGCACCAUGUUAUGUGUCCCACACUUCCAGCUAGCAUGUCCCCUUAGUAACCAGGAAAGCUGCUUCCCAUCACACAUAGAUGGAUUGAUAGAUUCAUACCUGGACAACAGGGCUGAGCCUCUUCUGGGCCAGCCCUGGGAGGGGACCAAAGAGGGUCUCCUUUCCCCUCAAUCCUUACCUUGCUUUGCUAUCUGCCAUUGCCACUGUGCUCCUUUGGGCUUGCAAAGAUGGGCCUUUCAUGACUCUCCUGUGGUGGCUGUGGUGUUAACCAAUAAAUCUGUCAGUACCCUAACAACCAUGUUAGUAUUUAAAACCUACUUAAUAUCUCUUAUUUAAGCCAAACAAAGUUAAACAACAAAUAAGAACAGAAGAACAUAUACAAAGUACAAGAGUGGGGAAACAGAAACCCAGAAUCUACAUCAUCAUACUGCUUGUGAUUGUGAUAUAAAUGGGUGUAGAAGAGGUUUUACAGUGAGCCAGAGGUUUUUCUGUGAGCCAGAGAGUUUGAUAAGAUGACCCAUGUUUAUCCCUGAAAGAAUUCUCUACCAAGGUCGUUGACAUAGAAACCAAGAAAGAAAGAAGGAUAAAUAAGGAUAAGAAAAACCUGGGACUAUCUAUUCCAAUAAGCAUUUUGUUUGUCUUUCCUGACCAAUGAGUAAAGUGUAAACUUAUGAGUUUUGUCAGAAUGUAUAAAAAGCAUGCAUGCUAUAAUAAAACUGGGUUUGAAGCCUUCUGAAAA